UCCACGCACCGGUGUCUCGUCUUAGCUCCCGCGUUUCCAACAAUGCGACAGCUAACUCGGUCCUCAAGAAGUCUACCCCAACCACUCACGUUAUCACGACCUCACACACCUGAAAGAAAAAGAGGUCCCUUCAGUUUAGUCACCACCAAGACAAUUAACGUGACUGCAUUAUAAACAUAAGAGACUUCCACUGCCAAGACUAAAUUAGUGAAACUUGGGUUCACUCCAAAUAUCGGGUUUAUUUACAAACGAGAUGCAUUGUAUUGUAUAUAUUGAAAACAUAAAUCGGAAGCCAACGUAGUCCCCGUUUGUUCACGAUAAAACAGAUUCAAAAUGAAAGGAUAUAGCAUCUCACGAACUAACAUGCUGAUGUGUACAACUUAGCAAUAUUGACACCGUAAUCCAAAGAGUUUCGGUUUCAAGUUAAAAAUGGUGGGAUGACUCUACGAUUAAAUCUAGACAACCACAAUCUUUAUAUGGAUUAUCAUCCUGUAUGUAUCUACCUUGUGAGCAAGGAUGUUAAAUCGUUGGUUUCACACAAGGAAAAGGAAGAUGUCAAUGAACGAAUAGAUGAACUUUAGAUUAGACAGUUAAUAUUACACGGUAUUUAAAAGAAAAUUCCUUUUUCUUACCUUUUUCCCUUCUCUACUUCUACUACGACUUCGUGCUCACGCUCUCUCCGAUCGUUUUGAAUAUCGUUCUUACCACGUCUGAAACUUGUAAAACCCAGGAUUUUAUAUUUACUUCUAGGACCUCCGGCUCGGUCAGUUACUGUUUGGUUGUCCUCCUUCGCGUGACGUAUUUACGGAUGAUAACUUCGUUGAGCUCAAGAAUCCAGGUUUUGCUGAUCUCUACAACUUCUGUUUAUGUACCGUUUUCGUCCUUACACUGGUGUUCGUUCGAUCCUCUAAAGGCUUUCCGUGUGUUCAACUGCCUGCGAACUUUAUGGAAGUUCGGCAACUUCUAAACCUUCUGGACAUUAAUUCAACCACCCCACUAUUACAGUAUACGGAACAACUUGGACCUCUGAACGAGACGGGUAAAACCAACACACCGUGUAAAUCUUUAUAUACAUGAAGAGGUAAACACCGUGAUGAAGUAAAACCAACACACCGUGUAGAUCUUUGUAUAUACAUGAAGAGGUAAACACCGUGUUGGAGGAAUAUAUACUAACAAUAUAUACAAAUAACUUAGUUGAAAUUCCAAAAACUACUCCG
rnacentral:rRNA from 1 species